rnacentral:rRNA from 1 species
GAUGAACUCUGGCGGCGUGCCUAAUACAUGCAAGUCGAGCUAAGCGGGGACGGGUGAGUAACCCGUGGAUAACCUCCUCUAAGACUGGGAUAACUUCGGGAAACGGGAGCUAAACCGGAUCCUUAGAGCUGUAUCCGCGCUUCAUUAGCUAGUUGGUAAGGUCACGGCUUACCAAGGCAACGAUGCAUAGCCGACCUGAGAGGGUGAGUGGCCACCCUGGACCUGGGACACGGUCCAGGCUCCUACGGGAGGCAGCAGUAGGGAAUCUGCCGCAAUGGGCGAAAGCCUGACGGAGCUACGCCGCGUGAGUGAUGAAGGUCUUCGGAUCGUAAAACUCUGUUAUUAGGGAAGCGGUACCUAACCAGAAAGCCACGGCUAACUACGUGCCAGCAGCCGCGGUAAUUC